rnacentral:rRNA from 1 species
GACGAACGCUGGCGGCGUGCUUAACACAUGCAAGUCGAACGGAAAGGCCCUGCUUUUGUGGGGUGCUCGAGUGGCGAACGGGUGAGUAACACGUGAGUAACCUGCCCUUGACUUUGGGAUAACUUCAGGAAACUGGGGCUAAUACCGGAUAGGAGCUCCUGCUGCAUGGUGGGGGUUGGAAAGUUUCGGCGGUUGGGGAUGGACUCGCGGCUUAUCAGCUUGUUGGUGGGGUAGUGGCCUACCAAGGCUUUGACGGGUAGCCGGCCUGAGAGGGUGACCGGCCACAUUGGGACUGAGAUACGGCCCAGACUCCUACGGGAGGCAGCAGUGGGGAAUAUUGCACAAUGGGCGGAAGCCUGAUGCAGCAACGCCGCGUGCGGGAUGACGGCCUUCGGGUUGUAAACCGCUUUCGCCUCUGACGAAGCGUGAGUGACGGUAAUGGGUAAAGAAGCACCGGCUAACUACGUG